rnacentral:rRNA from 1 species
CCGAUCCCAUCCCGAACUCGGAAGUGAAACGCAGCUGCGCCGAUGGUAGUGUGGCUCAAGCCAUGCGAGAGUAGGUCAUCGCCAGGG